GAUGAAGAACGCAGCGAAAUGCGAUAAGUAAUGUGAAUUGCAGAAUUCAGUGAAUCAUCGAAUCUUUGAACGCACAUUGCGCCCGCCAGUAUUCUGGCGGGCAUGCCUGUUCGAGCGUCAUUUCAACCAUCAAGCCCCAGGCUUGUGUUGGAGCCCUGCGGCUGCCGCAGCCUCCCAAAACCAGUGGCGGGCUCGCUAUCACACCGAGUGCAGUAGUUUACUCUUCGCUCAGGGCGUGUGGCGGGUGCUAGCCGUAAAACCCCCAACUUCUCAAGGUUGACCUCGGAUCAGGUAGGAAUACUCGCUGAACUUAAGCAUAUCAAUAAGCGGAGGA
rnacentral:misc_RNA from 1 species